GAUGAACGCUGGCGGCGUGCCUAAUACAUGCAAGUCGAGCGAACAGACGAGGAGCUUGCUCCUCUGACGUUAGCGGCGGACGGGUGAGUAACACGUGGAUAACCUACCUAUAAGACUGGGAUAACUUCGGGAAACCGGAGCUAAUACCGGAUAACAUGUUGAACCGCAUGGUUCAACAGUGAAAGACGGUCUUGCUGUCACUUAUAGAUGGAUCCGCGCCGCAUUAGCUAGUUGGUAAGGUAACGGCUUACCAAGGCAACGAUGCGUAGCCGACCUGAGAGGGUGAUCGGCCACACUGGAACUGAGACGCGGUCCAGACUCCUACGGGAGGCAGCAGUAGGGAAUCCUCCGCAAUGGGCGAAAGCCUGACGGAGCAACGCCGCGUGAGUGAAGAAGGUCUUCGGAUCGUAAAACUCUGUUAUUAGGGAAGAACAAAUGUGUAAGUAACUAUGCACGUCUUGAUGGUACCUAAUCAGAAAGCCACGGCUAACUACGUG
rnacentral:rRNA from 1 species